CCGAGGACAGCAGGCGUGAGUGAAGCUGACGGUCUUCGGGGCCCCUUCUUCUGAUGGAGUCUUUUCAAUGAACUAGAGAAAGGAAAGCACAUCUUCCCAUUUAGAAGUCCACGUUCCCACGGGCGGAAUAUUUUACAGGUAGGUCUACUGAUUUGGAAUUAAGAUAAAUGGGCCUGGAGAAGGCAGGAAUGGGACAAAUAGCUGAGAAAUGUCUCUCAACCUAGAAAAAAUUAAGGACCAACCUGAGUUGCUGG
rnacentral:lncRNA from 1 species